rnacentral:rRNA from 1 species
AACGUAGGACACGAGCGUUAUCCGGAGUUACUGGGCGUAAAGGGCGUGUAGGCGGGUGAUUAAGUUCGCUAUGAAAGCGCCAGGCUAAACCUGGCGAGGCUGGCGGAUACUGGUCAUCUGGAGUAAGGGAGAGGGAGGUAGAAUUCCGCGUGUAGUGGUGAAAUGCGUAGAGAUGCGGAGGAAUACCAGUGGCGAAGGCGGCCUCCUGGCCCUUAACUGACGCUGAAGCGCGAAAGCAUGGGGAGCGAACGGG